rnacentral:lncRNA from 1 species
GUUGUUAGUGUGGAUUGGUUCUUGAUGUUGCAUCUGAUAGAGUCCCUCAUGUUCUUCACCAAUCUCCAACACCUUCCCACUUGAGAGGUCCUGGAAUACGCAAAAGUUAGGGAAGAAGGUGACUGAACAUUGUAACUCCUUAGUUAGGCUGGAAACAAACAUUAGAUUAAAUCUAAAAUCUGGAAUGUAGAGAACAUUGCU